GGUAUAGCUCAGUUGGUAGAGUGCUUGCCUUGCAUGCAUGAGGCCUUAGGUUCAAUCCCCAGCACCA
rnacentral:tRNA from 1 species